GAGGGGUGGAGGAGGUUACUGAAAGACAUUUUACACAGUAUAAUAUCAUAGGGUGCUAUCGUGUAUUAGCCUACUUGGUCAGUUGGGCUUGACAUCUCUGUCUCCUUCAUAAAAAAGUUCUCUUAAGCGCCUCUGUAUAUGCGGUUCCAGAGUUGCUUUUCAUUUGGGUCCAUGUGGGAUUUUAGCAACAUCAACACCGUUGCUAAUCAAUCUAGAUAAUGCAGUAUUGUUUGGAUUUUCCAAACGUUCAGCUUUCCCACCUUGCUCCCCAGCGACCACUUCAAAAUCAGUCAUAGCCAUUCUUAGCCUAACUUAUUUGGAAAAAUAGUAUUUUAUUUUAUUUAGUAGUAUUAGUAUUUAUUUUAUUUAGUAAUACUAGUAUUUUAUUUUAUUUUUAUUUUUAAAUUUAAAUCCGUCUAUUCAUUAGUUUCCUGGUUUUUCAUGCAUUGAUUUGUUUUUCCCUUCAAGCAGCAAUUUGUGAAAUGAAAAUGUGUGAAUCUUCUGGACCUAUAUAGGUUAAUAGGCUAUUCCUGUUGGUGUAUAUUAGCCAUUCUUGCUGUAAUAAAAGAAAGUAAACACACGCAUGAGAAUUACACUCUCGGUAUUUUUUAUUUUUAUUUGUAUUUUUUUUGGAUUGGUGUGAAAGGUUUCAAGAAUAGAAAGGGAUGACUAUAUGCAAUUCUAUAAUUUGAUCAUACAAUCAGUGUUUCCAUAAGGUAUGCUGUAUGUGCCGGUGUAGUCCCAAGCAUUCAAUUCCACGGCCCUGACGAGGACUCAGCCAACCGAAAGGUUUUAGCCCCAUGGGUUAUCACUCAUAGUAAACAGGAAUCUUACUAGUACUGACUAGUAAAAUAGUGCACCGUUAUGCAGAUGAACUUGACUAGUUUUGCUUGUCUGUUGAAACUUAGAUUCGAGGUCCGGCUUGCGACCCCUUCCACACCGCACAAUGAAUGCCUGUCACCUCUAUGUGCGCGCCGAAUGACAUGGGUUCCUGAUACAAACUGAAACGCGGCCGAACUAUUCAAAUAAAUGCAAUAUGUAGGCAAUACAUAUUGUGUAUUGAUAUUUUGACAGGGCUAUUUGAUAUAAAAUACACAAGUGACUGCACUUGAGUUGUUUGUAGCACCUACCUCAGUUCAUGCAUCAGAACUCUUACUAUAGCCUAAAUAGGAAUGAGGGCCACAACCGAUCAACAUUGGUGACAUGUCUGCCCAUCGAAAAAAGUUUUAGCAGCUGAUAGAUGAUUUUAUAUUUUCACGUAUAAUGCAUAUUGUAGUACUUCCUCUUUUUUGGUGGGAGGACGACAUCCAGUGUGAGUUUUUUAAUGAAUGUAGGCCUAAGAAGCAUGUUUGUUUAAAUACAUAUAAUUGUGUGGUGUUUAUUUUUCUAGAACGAACGCAGAAAAUAUAUUUAAAGCGAUUAAAAUGUAUGUAGCGUGUCGGAAAAUGUAUAUGAAUUCAAAACUAAGGGAGAAAUUCUAUCUUUCUGCUUUACGGUUGGUCAUGUUUUUUGUAGUAUUUUAAGCAUGUGUUACAUUUUUCCAGAGUUGCAUAUUAUCAUUAGUCUAGCAGAGGUUUGCAGAGGUUAACUGGCACUUGUGGAAAUUACGAAAAAAGCGUCCGAACCAACAGCAAAGCAGCUUGAUUGAAUUGUCCACUCAUUGUUGCAAAAUAGGCUCUGAUAAUCACAUGCAUGCAUACGUGUUGGUCUGAAUCUAGACUAUCCAAAUUUUGCCAUCAACUUGUAAUCACAUUAACAUAUGCAAUAUCAGUAAACCGGCACACAUAACAUAAAGUUACUUAGAAAAAUAAUAUUAUUUUUUAUUGUUGUUGUUUUUCUUCUUAUUAUUAUUAUUAUUACUACUACUACUACUACUACUACUAUUAUAAUUAUUAUUAGAUGUAGUAGCAGCAGCAGCAGUAGUAGGAGCAGCUGAAGCAGUCAGAAAAGUCUAGGAUUACUAGUAGUAAUUGUUGCUAUAGCAGCAGCAUUAUUAAGUAAUUGUUGCAGCAGUACCCAAAUUGUUCGUAGGUUUUCAUCAUGUGACAGGUUAUACCAUAAUUUGACAACCAAUGCUUAAGGUUUCCUAUAUUGUGCAGUCAUUGAAAAUUUAGUUUCUAUGCCAGUCAGGUUAAUGGUUUUCAAGGAAUCUGUUGCAGUUGUGUAACUACGGCUAUAACAACAUAAAUGCGAGAAGGACAUUGUGGGACAUUAUACCGUAUGGGAGCCUGGUAGUCUAUUAGAUUUUUUUUUUUUUUUACUGUAGUUCCGAAAUGCUCUCGUCCGUAGGGCACAUGAAAUCUAUCAGACCGUAAGAAUUGCGUUUUCCUUCUGUUUUAUUUUUUAAAAACCUGAAACCUCAUAAUCGCGUGAAUAUUAGAUUUUGAUCGGGUAUGUGUCCUUCUACAAUCACCCCCCCACCCCCUCCUGUUUUCCAACCCAACAUGCAGGAGGCAAUGUGAGAGAAAAGUAUGUGAACAGACUAAUUCCUCUCUCUAGCGCGCGCGUGCUGCUGAACAGCAGCUUACCAGCGCUAGAGGAGGAGCCGAGACGAUUAUCACUCUUCCAGGUGUUUGGAUACAGCGCUUUAUGCAGAAUUAAUAUAAUGGACGCAUUGCUCACGCCCUAGAGCUUAACAUAUGAUGUUCUACAAACGAGCACUUAGUUAUUCCCUGGGCCAAAUGCGCUUUAUUUUAUUCAAAUCCCUCAUCGCAUAUGAAGGGAAGUGUACCUGAUAUUUUACAAAUAAAUCAAAGAACCAAAAAGCAGCGCUGUUCAACGUAUGGUGAUGCUAAUGCUCACCCUAAUAUACCCUCCGCUUGACUCCAAAAUCUACAUUAAGUGACAUACAUCUGAUUGAAUGAUGAUGCAUUAGCUAAGCAUGUUAUUAUGAUAGUUUUAAAACAACGUAUUAUUAUUAUUAUUAUUGACAAUGUGAUGUUAUUGCUAAUUGUAUUCUGACUGCCUCCGUUUUUAGGACAGUGCUGAUAGUGCUCAGCUGUUCCUCUGUCAAACUGGAUUUGGGGAGCUUUACUUCCAAUCUGGGUAGAUAGGAGGUGAUGUAAUAAUUGCCUCGGACAUUCAGAAUCUGCAAGGCCAGCUCUGCUAAGAGCAGCUGAUCCUGAACUGGGGUUGAUCAGCUCACCACGCUAGGCUUAUGCAGUCACAACAAGGAUGCUACAUGUAUCGGCCUGAGCGCAAGUCCCGGUGACAAUGCGAAACCAAAAAAUUUGUAUUUAGUUGUAUACUUUCUUUAACCAGUUCUCCACCCGUACGUUGACAAAACUGGCUGUAAGUUAACGGUAACAAUAAUAUGCAUUCAUUCAUUCAUUCAUUCAUCAAUCCAUUGGCCUAUUCCUCGGUUGAAAUAUAAACUACACUUAUUGGUGCAGUUUCAAAUUGAUAAGUCAAGUCCAGCACAUAUGAUAAUUUUGCUACCCCAAGUUGUAUAUAAAAUGAAUUGCGGAUAAAAUAUCGAUGGGAAUAUUUAGGAAGUUUUGUAUCAUAGCAGUUUAGUUCGUAUAACGCAGUACAUUGGCCAUACAAAUAUGUAUGCUAUAUAUAGCAUUGGAAAAUGUGUUAAAUUGUCUUUCUGCAGGCCAUGACUAUGAAUUGGGUAGUUUAGGAUAAAACAUCGGCUUCAAUAGACGUUUAAAAACGCACACUCUGCCAUGCACAAUUGAACUUGAACCUCCCAGCUUUCACUGCAGUGAGUUCACGUGUUUCCCAGUCGUAUUGGUGUCAAUCUCACUGAUACAGUCUGACGCUUACAACACUUCACAGAAAACUCAAAACCCUGUCGUUUUUCUUUACUUUUGUAGAACACAAAUAGAUAAGGAUGAUAUCCCCUUGAGACCUAGUCAGUGGUAUCAUACUUCAUAGUGCGAACUUCAUUAAGCCACCUUUUGCUGACCUGGGACUGAUGAAAUAGGUUACACCAAACAACAACGCUGUCAUUAUUUCCAUAUAUAAAAAUGAAUCAAUAUACUAUUGAGCCAUAACUGAAAACAAUGUUUUUGUUGCACUACCGUGUUGUUGUGUAAUUGGAAAAUCAGAUUGUAGCCUACCCAAGACAUUUUUUCAGUGUUUGCUUCUAGUAUUAAUAUUCAAUUAAUAUUUUCUUUAAAGGUUUAUUUUGCAGUCAACUAUUGUAUGUAAUCUAUAUAGGGUUUGUAACAGGUCUGUGUCAAUGAAACACCCAAAGUCUUGUGAAACCUCUUAUGAUGUUUCUGUCUGCAGCAUUUGUUUUGCUGUUUGCGUGGCACGCAAUGUACCAAGCGCAAAACGUGGCCUGUCUUAACUAUGCAAACUGAAUGUCUGAAAAAAUGUACUUGUGCUGUUCUGUUUAGCUCACGGAAAAUUAGUAACUUCAAAAUGGCAAAUGAUAACAUAAACAACAAUCUGUCUUAAUCUAUUUUUUCCAUCAUUUAUUUUGCCACUCAUUAUUAUUUUGCUACAUCCAAAGAAAUUAGUGGCUGUUUUGUCGUUUUUUUUUAUGACACAUCUGAAUAAAAGUUUCUGAACGUUCAGGUUCAGGUCACAGUACAUUUUAUUGGGAAGUUCAUGGAUCCAUUCGUACUGUACAAAGUGCGUAAAAUAACGCAUAUGCUGAGCCAAAGAGGAAAACAACAAAUUGAUGUUGUUUUCCAGUGUCGCGCUGUUUGUUGCGAAAAAUCGGAUGUGUUAUGACCUCUGCUAGCGCAUAAAGACACACCAAAAGGCUGUGUUUAAAUAUGCGCACGAUGUUGCAUUUUCCUUUCUUUUCUCAUUGAGCACAGUAUAACAUAGAAUGGUGAAUCUGGCUUUCUUGCGCAGAAACAGCCCCCACCCCCGCAAACAAAAAAGGAAAAGUUUUUGUACGACUAUGCAAGUGUCUCAGCCCGCUUGUUUCCUCAAAGGAACAUUGUCAAGGGGGAAAUGUAAAAUUUUUAGAUACAUUGUGUACCCGGCAACAUGUAACCGGGUGAUCAUAAGACGGCCUUUUUUGUAUUUGAACAGUGCAUGGUACGGGUCAGCUAUGAUUUUGUAUUUCCAAAUCAUGGGAAAUGUGCAAAGUUGUAAAUGCAUUUACUUUGGUAGUAUUUCGCUUUUGCAACAAUACAGUUAAAAUGUUUUGAAUUCCCUGUGCUUUACAUAGUUCUGCCCUUUUCGCCACCCUUCCUCUUCUCUGUGUAGUUAGCAAUUACGGCUGAAGGUCGGAGGAACGGGUCAUGGUUAUCCAUCGCCCCAUAAGUGGAUUUUGAUAUUUAGACAGCUAUUGUUACUCAAUAUUAACUUACAGGAUAAUGACGAAAGAUACUGCGUCCACUGAACUUGUUAUUCACGAAUGAGCGGCAUCUGUCGAAUAUAAUUUUCGUCUCUGGCCCGGUUUGCCCGGCGAGAUCAAUACAGGACGUCUGAAACGCGCCGGGAAACGCAGCGAAUUGCAUCGCAGUGACAGAUAGAAGCCCAUCAUGCCGCUCCGUGUCGCUGAGAGAGAGGGGGGCACUUCCAUGUGGCUACCAGAUCAACAGGUACUGCACGACACCGCAAAAUAAAAAUGAAAAGCAUUUGAAAUUGUGAGAUUGAGUUCCUUCAAUUCCAGGAAGUUUGAUAAAGUUUGAUAAAAAUGUUGAUACAUUCAGAUGGACUCGCAAUAUUCGCAUAAAUUGGAGUUUUUUUAUUUGUGUAUAUUUAUGCAUCUAUUUAGAUCUGAAAUUACAAUAAUAAUAACGAAAUACCAAAAUAAAAACAUUAUUAUUAUUAUUAUUAUUAUUAUUAUUAUUAUUAUUAUUAUUAUUAUUAUUCGCGCGAUCAAUUUUUGUUCCCAAAUAAACUUUGACUGGAAGUUAUUGGACACACAAAAAAAAAUCUUCAGAAAACUGAGUUCUGCUGUUUUCACACUCCUCAAGUGAAAAGUAGGGUAAUUUUGAAUGCAGGCCUAUGAUUACUCUAACUAAAUGAACAUAACCGUCGUGGAGUGAGAAACCCCGCCGCGGGUGUCGGUUUUUGACACAUCAUCAACAACUGUAAACAUCUGGAGAUUUAUCCGAUUGUGUGUAGGCUAGAUUGAGGCACAUAAUGUCUUGUCAAUUUUUGAAUGUUGUUUUUUAAGAUGGGGAUUACCGCCAGGAUGUAAACUGACAAAAGACCGACCCUCUCCACAGUUCUGGUUUGGAGCUCACGAAAGCCGGAAGGUUUUUGACUUUAUUUGACGCAUUUUAAACUAUUUGGACAAUCUUGACCCGUCUUUGAAGGGCAGGGAGGAGGGGGCAGGGGGGUUAAGUGUAGGCUAUUGCUUUGAGGUUCACCGACUGUUCAUAUUCUCUCAACUGAAAAUGCCUUGUUUGCAAUAUUUAAGGUAUUGCUUCUAUUAAUGUUUAACCAGUUAUUAUUAAAACGAUUAAAAUUAUUACUAAGACCAAACUGUAACUAACAGGAGUCUUACGUUUAUUUUAAAAUUCUGUUGACCAUUGGACUAUUUCAUAAUAAAGUAUUGUGUAAACCUGUAAUUGUGUGUUUUAUUUUGUAUUUUUUUAAUUAAUGAGAUGAGUGUAAGUAAAUUUAAAAGAUCAAUUUCUAUAAUUAUGCUUAAAAAUUGAUUCAACAGGUCAUACGUCAACAAUUUGCUAUGAUUAGCCUAUAUUUUGGUCGCAGCUUAAUCAAACUGCUCGGUGAGACUGGGGUCUCUGACAAUUAUAUAUUUUUCAUUACAUUCAGUCUUGAUGGGAUCUUAAAAUCGGAAGCGCUUUUCCCUGCCCUAUAAUGAAACACAAUGUCAAAUGUAUGUAUUUAAGCUAAUGGGGUUUAUUCGUUAAUGAUUUAUUGUACAGUGUUUGCUGAAUAACCUUUAGUGCAGGGUAAUAUUUAAUUACUAGUUACUAGUUACUUGUGGUUUAACGCUGUUUUGUGUCUUUUUCAAUCAUAUGAAUAUUUGCCACAACUCAUAUAUAACUGGGGAUGCGGAUUAAUUUGGCGGGAGUUUACAGAUUCAUGUUUUGUCCAUGUCACUGUCUUUGAGAUCACACGAACUCCCGUCUGAUGUGCGUUAUUUUGACAAUGGUAUUAUUAAGUAGCCUUAUUUGUCACCAUUAUAAAUCUAGUUAUAUAUAUGACAAAAUAUUCCUUAGUGGCAUCCUCGCAUGUUCUUUUCUUUGUAAAUUAAAUAGGGCAAACGUUCAUGUGUUGCGGGAUGUAUUAUUAAUCCACAUGCACUCCUAUACAUUUUUGUCGCGCAGUGAUGAAGACGCAUGUACUUUGUCAUUGUCAAACUUUCCACGAAUGAGCCUAUGUUUUAUUUGUUUUGAGUCAUUCGCACUCCCUUACAUUUAUGGCGUAUAGCAUUACAGAUAACGCAGUCCCAAAGUAGUUUUUUCUCCCCCAAAGAGACGGGCAGACGGGUCGAGGGUGGUGUGUUGAAAAACGAGCAAGAAAAGGCAACCCUCCGUUCCAUGAUGUUUAGUAAAAAAAAGGGCUCCAGUGUUUCAUCGAACCAUCUUAAAUAAAGCUAAUUUAUAUUUUAUCAGUGCGGUUACUAAAUUAAUAGGAGACACUCAAGCAGAUGUCAAAACGUCUCAAAAAUGUUUAUGUGUGAAUAACUGAGCAGGCUGUGGGACGCAUUAUCUGAUUGCGAAAUGAAAGAUUCAUGAAGGACAGCUGUUAGCAGCACCCACUCCCGGUGUUUCAUUAGCCAACAAUGCUAAUUUAAACAUCCAUUUUAGUGAAACCUGCAUUAUUUUCAGUGGCGUCCAUUUUCCGUUAUUGCUCUUUUAUUACCUGUAAUGUGUUCACUGGAGCACACUCUGCAGCUCUCGAACCAAAUCCACGUUGUUUGAAAAGUAGUUUUAAAGAAGUAAUGUUGCACAGGUUUGUAUUGCGUUUCAUCAAUUUCUAUACAGUAUCACCCAUUUUACAUUGGCCACGGUUACAUUCUCACCCGAUUUAAUGUUGAGGACAUGCAAAUGAACGUUAAAAUGGUUGACAUUAAAAAUACACAAUAAUGGUUGAAACUGUUUUUAAAUACGUUGGUCUAAAUAAGCGAUUCCCUUCGAUUGACCUAGUAUGUCCCACGAAAGUUGUUUUCUUUUACAGUGAUGGCGUAGCUGUUCUGCAAAUAAAAAAGUAUGUUUAUAAUACAUGCUCUUUUAUGAAAUUUUUCUUUAUUUAUUUGAAACGAAUGUCUCCAUCACCAGUCUCCUUCAUCAGUCACCUUCGCUCAAAGCCCUUGGUACAAAUGUUGAUUACUGUGGUAGAGGUCUCCACAUUUUAACAGAUCUUCCGUUUCGCCUGAACUGGUCCUCUUGGGACCCCGUCUGUGAUUGCACGCUUGGGCUGUUGGGCUUGUGGCAAGGUGCAGAUCUGGGGUAAAUGUCGUGUAGAGGUAAUGGGAAGUUAUUGGGAGGUAGUCCGACAAGGGUGUCCAGGAGGUUCCAGGUUCACGGUGGGGUUAAAGCGACUGUUAAUAUCUUUUGUUUGCUUUCUCCAGAAAAUCCCCUUCCUUCCUAAAAGAGGAUGUGUCCUGGCUUUCGGAUCAGCUUAUGCCCUGCCUUGCCACCAGCCUUUACCCUGUUUGUUUUUCUACGUUUAUUAAAUCUUCCCAAACAGGAAAACAAAUAAUAUCGCUACGUCAUUGAGCGAGAGGUUUGUUCUCUUUGUGCGUGUCACUACCGGGCCUGUGCUCCUGGCCUGAGAAUUCUUUUGUGUUUUGAGUUCCAACGUUAGCUUUCUAUUUUUAUCCAGUUACCAAAACUUCCAAAUUCUUUUGUAAUGGUUGUUUUACUUAAAAAUAUUUUAUUGUCAACUUAUUUUUUCAAUCUUGUUUUUUGUAAUAACUGGAAUAGUUAACAUGGCAUGCAAUUAAUAUAUUUAAUAUAAUAAUAUACAUAGUGAUAUAUUAUUAUUAUUAUUAUUAUUAUUAUUAUUAUCAUCAGUAGUGGUGCAGUAGUAGUGGGAACAACUCAUAUUCACAGUGGAUUUUUAACCGUUUGAUUUGUCCUCCCUCCCUGCAGACACUUCAACUGCUACUUCAAGUCCUUGUUGCAGUUUGUUCAGGCUGUUUAGUAGUAUGUGGGAGCAGUUUACCCUACUGACUACCAGGAGAUGCUGAAGCUAUUCUCCUUGUACAGUGAAAAAAAGAAUUUUUAAUUAAACUUUACUGAAGUAAACUGUCAACCACUGUCAGUGAAGGAAAAUAAAGGAGUUUUUGUUUUAUAACAUCAUAGGAACUUAUUUUGUUGGUUUUUUGUUGCCAAACAACAAAUAGACAACAAGAUUAUUUAAUCAGAAUUAUUAUAAUUUUUCAACCCUAGUUUGUCAUUCAUAAAGUCGUUUCUGACUGGAAAUAAUUACAUUUACCAAAAUGUUUGGACAUGAAUGUCUUUAAAUUUUUUGUGUAGGGUCUGACUGGAAAUAAUUAAAUUGACCAAAAUAUUUGGACAUGAAUGUUUUAAGAUUUUUUUUGUAGGGUGGAAUGUAUUAUGCAUUUCUAGCCAUUAGCUUUGUUAUAUUUUGUUUUGGAUGAUGCAAUCUCAAGUUCACGCAUGAAGGCCCCCCCCCCCAAUCUGUUAUUUAACUUGUCGACUAAAGAUCCACUAUCCUUUGAAGCAUGUUUUAAAAAAUAAAUUUAAAAAAAACAGUAUAAAAAUCAUUGAUUGACUGUACAAAGAAGUGUACAGGUCAGUGAUGUGGGGGAGGCUCUUGCUGUGUGACACCGGCAGCACGGUGUGUAAUGUCGGCACUGCCGGCACACCACUUUGGGGGUGUUUAUCUGGAGGAAACGUGGCCAAUCUCCUUUCUUUACUCUCGCACGGGACGCCGUGCCGUCUUUCCCCCCGAGGCGAGAACACCCUCCAUUUCGGCGUAUCUGACUCUGGGUUGGGCCCGCGGCUCGGCCGGGGAAGAUAGGGAGGGAAAGGGAGAGGGGUCGCCGGAGCACGCUGGCCGCCAGCUCGAUCCCCGGGCCUCAGUUUCACCAGACUCUCCACCUCCAUCAACGGAGGAUUUCUGUGCGCCAGGGAGGAGACGCAGUGGGAUCCUGCAGAAGUGCUAAUUCCUGGCAGAGUGAAAAUUGGCAAUGUGAUACCCAAAAGUGCCUUUCUGUCCCACCACUCCUCUUGCCUUUCUAAAUCCCUUCAAAUCCGAUGGGAACAUCAAGGCAGGAAGAGGCGGGGUCGCGCACACCCGCUCGCUCCAUUAUAUGUGCUAUCCAGUGUCGGUGUUGUGCAGCGCUGUCUCCCCAUAAAUUACUCCUUUUUAAAAUCUUUUAAAGAUGGCCGCCAUCGAACGCAUCAUGCGCAGGCGUACGCCUUCACACAGUGACACUGCCGAGGCGAUGUUUGCUCUGUCGCCGUUAUUAACGUGGGUGAAUUGCAUGUGGUUUAUGUUAAUUGUUUUGCGAUCUACGUUCUUCUGUUGAGAGCUUCGCUCUGGCUGAGCUGGUGUGUGGUGAUUGACCCCCCCCCAGCCUGCAAACCUUUAUGGUCUCUGCCUCAUUGUCCAGUUCAGCUCCUGAGUUUAUAUGAGCACAGGAGGGAAAUGUACUCCAUCUGGGUAAAAUGUACUCUUUCGGAGUUGAUUGAGCACACAGCGUUUAACUGUGUGGCUGUUGUGCUGACACUGACGGUGGCAGACAGGAAGUGGAGUGAAGACCGAGCUGUGCGAGGGCGGGGCUUGUGACCCGAGUGCGCUCGGACACGGCUGUGUCACCCCCGGCCUCAGCUCUCAGCCUCCCGGUGACAGAGCGAUCCGUCUGGCUGGAUGUUGCCUUCAUUAGCCUCAUUACAUCCGCUCAAAUACGGAGAGUCGCAAACAGACGGGCGCGGGCAGGGGCCUGCCGCCAUCCCGCCGAGCCGCGGCCGGGGCCGCUGUCCCUCUGGGGCGUGGCUCUUUCACUGAGGGCCCCUCACUUUUCCCCAAGUUCAACUGAGCCUGCAGCGCACUUCGCCUGAGCAGCCAAUGGGUUUAAGUCGUGGCUCAGUCAGUGCUGACUGCAGAGCCGGGCACUACUGGCCAUAGCAUUGCCCAGGGAGGGAGACAGCUCUCCUUGAUUGGUUGAUGGGACCAAAUUGAUUGAUUGAAACGUUUGUUAUUGGACUUUGUGCAUUUUGUGAAAAGGGGGGGGGGGUAAACUUGUUGAUGUUUAGCAAAGAGUAAGUCAAGAUUUCUCAGUUAAUGUAAAAAACAAAGUGCACUGCAGAUUUAGAUUGGAUCAGAUCCCAUGAGGGGCCAUUUACCGCAACAAAGUUUAACUGUAAAAAAAAUGGAAAGAAAAUUAAAAUAAAAUUUAAAAAGUU